GCCCGGAUGGUGGAAUCGGUAGACACAAGGGAUUUAAAAUCCCUCGCCUUACGGGUGUGCGAGUUCAAGUCUCGCUCCGGGCA
rfam:Psychromonas sp. CNPT3, complete genome.